rnacentral:rRNA from 1 species
UACGUAGGUGGCAAGCGUUGUCCGGAAUUAUUGGGCGUAAAGCGCGCGCAGGCGGUCCCUUAAGUCUGAUGUGAAAGCCCACGGCUCAACCGUGGAGGGUCAUUGGAAACUGGGGAACUUGAGUACAGAAGAGGAAAGCGGAAUUCCACGUGUAGCGGUGAAAUGCGUAGAGAUGUGGAGGAACACCAGUGGCGAAGGCGGCUUUCUGGUCUGUAACUGACGCUGAGGCGCGAAAGCGUGGGGAGCAAACAGG